GCUUACGGCCAUACCACCCUGAGAACCCCCGAUUUCGUCUGAUCUUGGAAGCUAAGCAGGGUCGGGCCUGGUUAGUACUUGGAUGGGAGACCGCCUGGGAAUACCAGGUGCUGUAAGCU
ensembl:rRNA 5S_rRNA 5S ribosomal RNA